GACGAACGCUGGCGGCGUGCUUAACACAUGCAAGUCGAACGGAAAGGCGCUGCUUUUGUGGGGUGCUCGGGUGGCGAACGGGUGGGGAACAUGAGAGUAACCUGCCCUGGACUUUGGGAUAACUUCAGGAAACGGAGGCGAAUACAGGAUAGGAGCUCCUGCUGCAUGGUGGGGGUUGGAAAGUUUCGGCGGUUGGGGAUGGACUCGCGGCGUAUCAGCGUGUUGGUGGGGUAGUGGCUGACCAAGGCUUUGAAGGGUAGCCGGCCUGAGAGGGUGACCGGCCCCAUUGGGACUGAGAUACGGCCCAGACGCCUAGGGGAGGCAGCAGUGGGGAAUAUUGCACAAUGGGCGGAAGCCUGAUGCAGCAACGCCGCGCGCGGGAUGACGGCCUUCGGGUUGUAAACCGCUUUCGCCUGGGACGAAGCGUGAGUGACGGUAAUGGGUAAAGAAGCACCGGCUAACUACGUG
rnacentral:rRNA from 1 species